GCCCUAGGACCCUACAACCUUCACCCCACUCUGUCUUCCCUUGAAAUAAGCCUGCCACUGCAGACGGAGAGCAGAGCCCACAGAAACCUAGAGCUAAAAGGGCAUCCUAGCCACCAUGAGCAAGAAAGAGGAGGACCAGCCCGGAAGUCUCUCCAAGAGCCCCAAAGUCCAGGAAUCCCCACCAAAGGAUUCAGAAACAGAGCACACAGUCCGGGGCCCCUCUGAACGUCCCUCUUCUGGAGCAAAGAGCCUUUCCCAGCCGCAGUAGAUGCCUAGACCGGCGCUGCCGUUUCGGUUACUCUAUGUCUGGAGUCCUGGAACGGGUGUAUGACAGCCCUCUUCCCGCAGAAGAUGAGUUUAAAUGAAGAAAGCGUUAAAUCUUUGCUUUGGGACCAUCAUUGACUCUUUAAUCUUCGGCAAGCAUUUAUUGAGGCCCUAGUCCUAAGUGGUUAAGACCAGGAAUCAUCUGAAUUCAAAUCUGUGGACGUGACAAAUGAACUUGAGCAAAUGAGCUCUCUGUUGCCUCGCUUUCC